AGCGAACGCUGGCGGCAGGCCUAACACAUGCAAGUCGAACGGACCCUUCGGGGUUAGUGGCGGACGGGUGAGUAACACGUGGGAACGUGCCUUUUGGUUCGGAACAACUCAGGGAAACUUGAGCUAAUACCGAAUGUGCCCUUGGGGAAAGAUUUAUCGCCAUUAGAGCGGCCCGCGUCUGAUUAGCUUGUUGGUGAGGU
rnacentral:rRNA from 1 species